UACAGAGGUGGCAAGCGUUGUUCGGAAUUACUGGGCGUAAAGGGCGCGUAGGCGGUCUUUUAAGUCUUGUGUGAAAUCCCUCGGCUCAACUGAGGAACUGCACGGGAUACUGGAAGACUUGAGUUCGGGAGAGGGAAGCGGAAUUCCGGGUGUAGCGGUGGAAUGCGUAGAGAUCCGGAAGAACACCGGUGGCGAAGGCGGUCUGCUGGGCAGUUGCUGACGCUGAGGAGCGAAAGCGUGGGGAGCAAACAGG
rnacentral:rRNA from 1 species